GUCACAGUCAGAGUCGCACAGUAGGCAGCCUUAAGAAUCAGCGUGUUGAAACACACAAGAGCUUUGAGCUCAGACGUAAGGGCCGUGCUGAGCACAGCGAACGGCAGAGAGAAUCAGAACAGUGCAAGGAGGGCCUUCUGGCUUCCCCAAACUCCACGGAAGUCUCGAUUCGCAUCCUGGGGCUGCUCCUACUUCCCUUUUCUCAGGGUCUGCGCUCCCUCCCUGGAACAGCUGGGCCCAGGUCUCCCUCCAGGGAGCGUUCGGAUGGAGCACGGCCACCCACCAUCAUGACUAAAGAUCAAAAAGAGCAAAACAGAACAAGACCUCAGGUCUCCGGGCCAUUUCCCCCUUCAGAGGCGGAGAGCAGCACAUCAAAACCAGAAGAUGAGCCAGAAGGUGGGUGUGCAGAGUGGAAGCCGCGAGCCACCGGAGACAGAAGAGUGCGAAUCGAGAUGGGCUUGCAUGUGAAACACUCAGCAGAGGUCACAGAUUUGGGACCGGAAACAAGCGGAAUGUCUCUCACCGGCGACUCUUCAAUUCUGGAUUUUCAUGCGAAAGUGAUAGCAUCUGGC
rnacentral:lncRNA from 1 species